ACGGUAACAGAAGAAGCCUGGCUCUUGCUGACGAGUGGCGGACGGGUGAAUAACGUAUGGGGAUCUGCCGAAUGGAGGGGGACAACAGUUGGAAACGACCGCUAAUACCGCAUAAUGUCGCGAGACCAAAGCAUGGGACCUUAGGGCCAUGCGCCAUUUGAUGAACCCAUAUGGGAUUAGCUAGUAGGUGAGGUAAUGGCUCACCUAGGCGACGAUCUCUAGCUGGUCUGAGAGGAUGACCAGCCACACUGGGACUGAGACACGGCCCAGACUCCUACGGGAGGCAGCAGUGGGGAAUAUUGCACAAUGGGGGAAACCCUGAUGCAACCAUGCCGCGUGUAUGAAGAAGGCCUUCGGGUUGUAAAGUACUUUCGGUAGCGAGGAAGGGGUUAUAUCUAAUAGGUGUAACCAUUUGACGUUAACUACAGAAGUAAGCACCGGCUAACUCCGUGCCAGCAGCCGCGGUAAUACGGAGGGUGCGAGCGUUAAUCGGAAUGACUGGGCGUAAAGGGCAUGUAGGCGGAUAGUUAAGUUAGGUGUGAAAGCCCCGGGCUCAACCUGGGAAUUGCAUUUAAAACUGGUUAUCUGGAGUAUUGUAGAGGAAGGUAGAAUUCCAUGUGUAGCGGUGAAAUGCGUAGAGAUGUGGAGGAAUACCGGUGGCGAAGGCGGCCUUCUGGACAAAUACUGACGCUGAGAUGCGAAAGCGUGGGGAGCAAACAGGAUUAGAUACCCUGGUAGUCCACGCUGUGAACGAUGUCAACUUGGAAGUUUGGGUCCUAGAGACCUGGGCUCCGAAGCUAACGCGAUAGUUGACGCCUGGGGGAGUACGACCGCAAGGUAAACUCAAUGAAUUUGACGGGGCCGCACA
rnacentral:rRNA from 1 species